AUUGAACGCUGGCGGCAGGCCUAACACAUGCAAGUCGAGCGGAUGAAGGGAGCUUGCUCCUGGAUUCAGCGGCGGACGGGUGAGUAAUGCCUAGGAAUCUGCCUGGUAGUGGGGGAUAACGUCCGGAAACGGGCGCUAAUACCGCAUACGUCCUGAGGGAGAAAGUGGGGGAUCUUCGGACCUCACGCUAUCAGAUGAGCCUAGGUCGGAUUAGCUAGUUGGUGGGGUAAAGGCCUACCAAGGCGACGAUCCGUAAUUGGUCUGAGAGGAUGACCAGUCACACUGGAACUGAGACACGGUCCAGACUCCUACGGGAGGCAGCAGUGGGGAAUAUUGGACAAUGGGCGAAAGCCUGAUCCAGCCAUGCCGCGUGUGUGAAGAAGGUCUUCGGAUUGUAAAGCACUUUAAGUUGGGAGGAAGGGCAGUAAGUUAAUACCUUGCUGUUUUGACGUUACCAACAGAAUAAGCACCGGCUAACUUCGUG
rnacentral:rRNA from 1 species